rnacentral:tRNA from 1 species
GCAGAAUUAGUGUAAUGGUAACAUGUAACUCUUCCAAAGUUAAGUUGACAGUUCGAAUCUGUUAUUCUGCU